rnacentral:rRNA from 1 species
AUGAACGCUGGCGGCGUGCCUAAUACAUGCCAGUCGAGCGAACAGACGAGGAGCUUGCUCCUCUGACGUUAGCGGCGGACGGGUGAGUAACACGUGGAUAACCUACCUAUAAGACUGGGAUAACUUCGGGAAACCGGAGCUAAUACCGGAUAAUAUAUUGCACCGCAUGUUUCAAUAGUGAAAGACGGUUUUGCUGUCACUUAUAGAUGGAUCCGCGCCGCAUUAGGUAGGUGGUAAGGUAAGGGCUUACCAAGGCAACGAUGCGUAGCCGACCUGACAGGGUGAUCGGCCCCACUGGAACUGAGACACGGUCCAGACUCCUACGGGAGGCAGCAGUAGGGAAUCUUCCACAAUGGGCGAAAGCCUGACGGAGCAACGCCGCGUGAAUGAUGAAGGUCUUCGGAUCGUAAAACUCUGUUAUUAGGGAAGAACAAAUGUGUAAGUAACUAUGCACGUCUUGACGGUACCUAAUCAGAAAGCCACGGCUAACUACGUG